CGCGCGACUGAAGCAGAAGAGCCGCCGGGCAGGUUCCAAGGGAGACCCCCGCAGCGGCCGGGGCUCGGGGGCCUUCCGUUAAGAACUUAUUAAGUGGGGGGCGGUUAAGAGUUGAUCUGUCGCAGAGCGCUACUUACCCCCAUAUUUUUGAAUUACUUGUAUUGAUCUGAGACUGUGUUCUUUGGAAUGUGACCCUGUCGGACUUCGAGUUAAUCAGGAAGCGCUGCCGGGGAGGGCUCCUUGUAAUCACGGGACCUCCCCACCCGACGACCUGGGAGCUGUCUGUGGUGCUAGGAAAGAGAACCUUGGAGAUCGCCAGAAGAAGGGCCAAGCAAGGAGAAGUAAAGAGGAAGAAACAGAAUGGCAGCGCGCCCAGAAAAGCUCACAAUGACAGAGGCCUUCACAUCCCAGCUAGGAGAAAGCAAGGCAAAGGUUCCCCUGGCUCAUCCCCAGGCCAGCAAGCCUUGAGGAUGGACCUUUUGAGGUUUUUAAGCAUCCCUCUGAAACAAGUCCAUUUUCCUGUGCUCUGGUGGGAAGCAAAGAAUGUCGUCAGAGUUUCUGUUUGUCUAGACUUCCAGUCCAGAGACCAGUCACAGUUUGCCCUUCAGACAGGGGAAAGACAAGGAAUGUAGCUAGCUCCCCGGCACAGCCACUUGGGGAAGUCCUUAACCAGCUAAAUCUCCUGUGGAAAGACACAUUUGCUUGCCCCUCUCCACACCCCAAAUAUAACUGGGCCAGCACAAAAGCAUGAAAGAACCCCCUUGUAAAGGAAUGAACUCAUUUUGUUCUUGAUUUUUAAGCAGUAGUUUCUGGACUUGGGAUUUUAGGGCACCUGUGAAGGUCUCCUUUGCAGCAGUGUUGGAGAGAAAGGAACUUGGUACCCAACUUUCUUCCCAAAACAGCUCCUCUUGCAACACCAAUCUAACAAUCUGUGUUAAACAGCAAGUAGCCA
rnacentral:lncRNA from 1 species